UAGGGAAUCUUCCACAAUGGACGCAAGUCUGAUGGAGCAACGCCGCGUGAGUGAAGAAGGUCUUCGGAUCGUAAAACUCUGUUGUUAGAGAAGAACACGAGUGAGAGUAACUGUUCAUUCUAUGACGGUAUCUAACCAGCAAGUCACGGCUAACUACGUGUCAG
rnacentral:rRNA from 1 species